UGUUACCUGUAGUGUGGUUGUUAUAGUUAAGGUGAUGUUACCUGUAGUGUGGUUGUUAUAGUUAAGGUGAUGUUACCUGUAAUGUGGUUGUUAUAGUUAAGGUGAUGUUACCUGUAGUGUGGUUGUUAAGGUGAGGUUACCUGUAGUGUGGUUGCUAUAGUUAAGGUGAUGUUACCUGUAAUGUGGUUGUUAUAGUUAAGGUGAGGUUACCUGUAGUGUGGUUGUUAUAGUUAAGGUGAGGUUACCUGUAAUGUGGUUGUUAUAGUUAAGGUGAGGUUACCUGUAGUGUGGUUGUUAUAGUUAAGGUGAUGUUACCUGUAGUGUGGUUGUUAUAGUUAAGGUGAUGUUACCUGUAGUGUGGUUGUUAUAGUUAAGGUGAGGUUACCUGUAAUGUGGUUGUUAUAGUUAAGGUGAGGUUACCUGUAGUGUGGUUGUUAUAGUUAAGGUGAGGUUACCUGUAGUGUGGUUGUUAUAGUUAAGGUGAUGUUACCUGUAGUGUGGUUGUUAUAGUUAAGGUGAGGUUACCUGUAGUGUGGUUGUUAUAGUUAAGGUGAGGUUACCUGUAGUGUGGUUGUUAUAGUUAAGGUGAUGUUACCUGUAGUGUGGUUGUUAAGGUGAUGUUACCUGUAGUGUGGUUGUUAUAGUUAAGGUGAUGUUACCUGUAAUGUGGUUGUUAUAGUUAAGGUGAUGUUACCUGUAGUGUGGUUGUUAAGGUGAGGUUACCUGUAGUGUGGUUGUUAUAGUUAAGGUGAUGUUACCUGUAGUGUGG